rnacentral:rRNA from 1 species
GAUGAACGCUGGCGGCGUGCCUAAUACAUGCAAGUCGAGCGAACGGACGAGAAGCUUGCUUCUCUGAUGUUAGCGGCGUACGGGUGAGUAACACGUGGAUAACCUACCUAUAAGACUGGGAUAACUUCGGGAAACCGGGGCUAAUACCGGAUAAUAUUUUGAACCGCAUGGUUCAAAAGUGAAAGACGGUCUUGCUGUCACUUAUAGAUGGAUCCGCGCUGCAUUAGCUAGUUGGUAAGGUGACGGCUUACCAAGGCAACGAUGCAUAGCCGACCUGAGAGGGUGAUCGGCCACACUGGAACUGAGACACGGUCCAGACUCCUACGGGAGGCAGCAGUAGGGAAUCUUCCGCAAUGGGCGAAAGCCUGACGGAGCAACGCCGCGUGAGUGAUGAAGGUCUUCGGAUCGUAAAACUCUGUUAUUAGGGAAGAACAUAUGUGUAAGUAACUGUGCACAUCUUGACGGUACCUAAUCAGAAAGCCACGGCUAACUACGUG